AAUUUUUGAAUAAUUUUGGAAAUAUUAAAUAAAAUCUGAAGAAAAUUGGUAUUGUUGAUCACACUAGUCUGCUCUAAUGUUUCACCAGGAAUUUUGUUUUGAAACUUUUGUUUUGUAAAAAAUAUGGCACAUAGUCACACUUGUGGUGUUCCCGGUCAAAAAUGACCGGCCUAUAAAAAAUAGCUUAUAAAUCACUCAUUAUACCAUAUUUUCACCCAAUCUUGGAUUCAAUCUUUUUGUCAACUUGUUCUCUUUCAAUUAGGACUGGUUUUAUAUUUCUGUUUGCAUCUGAUUAAUCGUGGGCCUCAUUUAUCUGAGAGUAGGCAUCUCAUUUUUUGAGUAAAAAACAAAUAAUUUGUGAGUAAAUUUGGAAAUAUGAAAAAAAAUAUGAAAAAAAUGGCUACUGUUGAUCACACUAGUCUACUCUAAUGUUUCAACAGGAAUUUUGUUUUGAAACUUUUGUUUUGUAAAAAAUAUGGCACAUAGUCACACUUGUGGUGUUCCCGGUCAAAAAUGACCGGCCUAUAAAAAAUAGCUUAUAAAUCACUCAUUAUACCAUAUUUUCACCCAAUCUUGGAUUCAAUCUUUUUGUCAACUUGUUCUCUUUCAAUUAGGACUGGUUUUAUAUUUCUGUUUGCAUCUGAUUAAUCGUGGGCCUCAUUUAUCUGAGAGUAGGCAUGGUCAAAAAUGGUCACAAUGGCCGACCAUUGAAAGUGAAUGGGAGAGACUGAAAAUAACAGAACAAUUUAGUUUUCAGGAGCAUGUUCAUUAUUUUCAUGUACACAUAUGAGCAUAUGUGCUUGCAAACAUCGAGCCCUUGGACCUGUGCAUGUAUCGAUACAUUUAUACACACGCUACCCAGACACACACAUGUUAAAACACACAAACUUUUUUGAGUAUUACACACAUUCUUUUCCACAGAGAAAUUUGAUCCUACCCUAACCUGCAUCUAAUAUACAUUUAUCCAUCUGACAUUACCACACACACACACACACACACACACACACACACACACACACACACUGAGUUUGCUGCCCAGGCCACCACAAACUCUCAGAUCAACAUUGACAAUUACACCAACUCUGUCCUGGAGCACAUCAACAGGUGUGUGGGCAGAGUGACCAUACAAAAAAAAAAA
ensembl:lncRNA